rnacentral:rRNA from 1 species
UGGAGGACCGAACCGACUAAUGUUGAAAAAUUAGCGGAUGACCUGUGGCUGGGGGUGAAAGGCCAAUCAAACCGGGAGAUAGCUGGUUCUCCCCGAAAGCUAUUUAGGUAGCGCCUCGUGAAUUCAUCUCCGGGGGUAGAGCACUGUUUCGGCUAGGGGGCCAUCCCGGCUUACCAACCCGAUGCAAACUGCGAAUACCGGAGAAUGUUAUCACGGGAGACACACGGCGGGUGCUAACGUCCGUCGUGAAGAGGGAAACAACCCAGACCGCCAGCUAAGGUCCCAAAGUCAUGGUUAAGUGGGAAACGAUGUGGGAAGGCCCAGACAGCCAGGAUGUUGGCUUAGAAGCAGCCAUCAUUUAAAGAAAGCGUAAUAGCUCACUGGUCGAGUCGGCCUGCGCGGAAGAUGUAACGGGGCUAAACCAU